UACGUAGGGUGCGAGCGUUGUCCGGAAUUACUGGGCGUAAAGAGCUCGUAGGUGGUUUGUCGCGUUGUUCGUGAAAUCUCACGGCUUAACUGUGAGCGUGCGGGCGAUACGGGCAGACUAGAGUACUGCAGGGGAGACUGGAAUUCCUGGUGUAGCGGUGAAAUGCGCAGAUAUCAGGAGGAACACCGAUGGCGAAGGCAGGUCUCUGGGCAUUAACUGACGCUGAGGAGCGAAAGCAUGGGGAGCGAACAGG
rnacentral:rRNA from 1 species